UACAAAAUCAUGGCUUUUUGUUUUUAAACAGAGAGCUGGUAGUUAAAUAUGUAUCAGCACUUGGCUGAUUGGGUGGAAAGGUGGGCAGGCAGAGAGAGGGUAGGCAAGGAGCUGUCAGCUAAAGAAGGAAAAUCGGACUCACUGCUGUGGCAGCUCAGCGCCACCCUGUGGCCAAAGCUGAGAUGAACGGCCUCGCUGAUGAGUUUGUACUAUGACAGACAGCUCUUCUCUCUUCUGGGGUGUGUUCCACUCAUAGCAGGAAUGCGGGGUUGGGUUCUGGGAGGGCAGAGCAGGAAAAGAAAGUCUGGCCCUGACUGUGGCUUCUCCUUCCAGAGCAGACCCUGGGGCAGCCACAGUUACCAAGAUGCCCUUUCCUAAGCUCCGGGUAGAAGCCAGUAUGGCUCCUUGGUGAGGGCCCCCUGACCUGGCGGAAGGAUGUGUAGCCUUGGACCCUGCCUUCCUAGUAGCAGCUAGAAUGAAAAGCCCAGACCACUGCUGGGCGGCUGCUCCUCCAUUGCUAAGAUGACCACGGCUACGGCACCUCCCCAGAAAUGCCUCCAGCAGAAAUGACAGCUUUGCUGAAGGCAGGGGGCCUACAGUCUGUGCUCAGCUGCCCUCACAACCCACCUUCUACACCAGGACCUAAACCAACCGAAGGCCAGCCUUCCAGAAGGUAUCAGGGGAGGCUGAAUGGCCCUCCCACUGCUCAGACCAGGAGGUAGGACGGGAGGGGAAAAUCUUUAAGCACCUAAGGAGUGAGUAAAAUCUCAAGACAGCCCUAGGGUGGACCCUGCCCCUUCAGUGCAGGGGCAGAAAGAACACCCAGCUUGCCGAGGGUGCACCUCAGCCUUCCUCAGAUGUGCGUGUGCACUGGCAGUGGGAUCAUACACUACUCAGCACAAGGGGUGCCACUGUCCCACCUGCCCUGCAGGCCAUGAGCAACAGGUAAGUAGGCUGAGAGGGGAUAAUGAGGGGAUGAAGGGUGGCCAGAAAUAGUAGAGGUGAUCUAGGUGUGUAGUUUUCACUGGAGUCUGAAGGUUCAGAGCAGGAGAGGUGAGGAAUACAUUCCACUUUCCUCUUUCUGCCAGCACUGGCACAGCCUUGGCCUGUGCUCUGCAGCAGCAGCUGCCUUUGUCUGCUAAGCUCAGACCUUCCCCAGGCCUCCUGGACCUCUGUGCCUACCCUGCUCCUCGUGCGGCUUCAGCUUUGUCUCCCAAGUCUCUGUCCCUCUCCUUGCUUCAGUGUCCCAAGAUACUUUUAAGGUAGAACAGUCUGGGAGCUGGCCAGUCCCAACCAGUUCUCCACCCACCCCCGCCAUGUGUCUACUGCCUGCCACCCGAAUGAUCAGUCAGCCCGCCAUCACUGUCAGGACACAUCCAAAGGUGGGAGGUGGAACCCAGACUCCCUCACAGGCCAGCUAAUACUUUAGCCCUGUCGACCCCAAUCAGUCCUAUAAAUAGUAGACCUGAUAAUUAUUUUUGUUAUUUAUGGAAAAAAAUAUACUAUUAAGUACAUCUGGACAUUUACCAGUCUAAUAAGUAGAACUCUACUGCCGCCACCUCCUGGGGCCCUAUCCUUGGGCUAGACCUGCUCAGGCCACUGAGACAGGGUUGGUUGUAUAUACUGGCACAACUGAAUGUCUUAGAUGCUAGAAAUGCAAAUGAAACUGUCUUGGGUAUCAUACGGCCAGUCACUUUUUUCCUAAAAAAAAGGACGGUUAGCUCAAAAAAGGGAGGUGGUAAGUGAAGUCACGUAGUGAAUCAAAGGUAGGUCCUGGCCCAGUGCUUGCUGCACAUCCAGGUUAGGCUCAUUUCAAAUCAGCAGCCCUGGCUGCAAGUGACCUGAAUGCGGCUGCACGUGGAGGGGUGAAAGGCCUCUCCUCUCUUUCAUCCUGUUCUCCCUGAAAUCCCAGGUCUGUGUAGUUGGGCAAGAUCAAGCCCUCACCCUUCUCCAGACCCUCACCCUGCUCCAGAGUGUGUCCCAAAGAGAGUCAGGGCCCGUUACCUCAGAACAGACCUGGUCCAGCAGUCACCUGGGAGAUGGAGUACAUUUCAGGGUCCCUCCUGGCAGCCGCUCAGCAGUCUCCAGGCAGGCGAGCGGGAGUGUAAGCACCCCCAAGGCACCUCCUGGGGGCGGUGCGGGGGUGGGGAGCCAGACUGACCCCUUCAAGAAAUCUACUUCAGACUUUCCUUGGGCAUCCUACCCCCUGGUUGCUUUAUAUCCCGCCUCCCCUGUGCCCCAGUCUUCUCACGUGCAAAAUGGAGGGGGGAAGUAGUGCUUAAGAGUCUACGUUUUGUGACAAAAACUUAAGACAGUGUAAAGUGUUUGGCCCAGGGCCUGGCACGGAGUGAAGGAGGGAGGACUUCAUCAAUAGGAACCACAAUGUGAUGACAUCCUACAGAAAAAAAUAUCACCCAGAAUCUUAUUCCAGGUCUUUGUGCAGGGAGGGGCUUCUCCAGUCACUCCACAUGCAGACUGGUAUUCAGAUGGGCAGCCGCAAACCAUCACAUGAAGAAAGUGGAGAGACUGGCACAGCAGAGCUGCUCAGAGAGAAACGGGGGAGACAACCCAAGGGAGAGGCAAGGAGCUGUGUGUGAGUGUGGGGGGUUAGGAAGGCCGAACACAAACAACUUUAGCUGUUUCUUAGGUAACGGGAGUAAGGAAACCCUCAUACACGGGAGCAUUCGUCUGGAUGUGAUGAGCCUAUGGCUAUCAUUAAGACAGUGUGGACACCAAGGUCCGCAGAACAACACGGUAUGAAACAUAACGUGAAAGAGACUUGGUCGAGUUAGAAGUGAUGCUGUACAUUUAAAAGACUAGAAACUGAAGAGUGAAGUGUUCUCCUUAUAUCUUAAAGCCAAUCAAAUGUGAUCAGUUCAAAACUCAAAACCUCAAAAAUGCCUUGUUCACUACAUCUCAGGAAAGGGACUGAAUUCCUUGAGAACACUAGAGUGUCUUUACAGAGGCAGCUCCCUCCAGUCAGCUUUUCCUUCAAGGAAAAGGGCAGGAAUCAGGUAGAGCUGACAGCAUUUUCUGUCCAAGGUCACAAAAUACUAAAGUGAAAACACCAUCCUCCCCCCACCUCCCAGGUGGAGCUGCCACAGAAGGCAAGAAACAGGGCGCGAGAGAAAACGCACGAGGGCCAUCACUUUCCUCACAAAGCAGUGCUGGAAGCUGCCAGUUUGGGUGCACAUGGCCAGAGAUGCAGAAGUGCUCGGGGCUUUCCUGUAAAGACCGUGCUAUUCCACAAGCGGGAGAGUGCAGCUCACCCCAGUUACAGAGCACAAGAAAAGUAAAUAAGGGCAUUUUUCCCCCUCCACUAUUACCGACCAAAGAAGAGAUCCAGAUGAGGCCCUGCAGACUUGAGCCGAGAGUUCCUGGCUCUGUUCUGCCAGAGCUGGGUGACUCUGAGUAGGUUGCUUGACCUCCUGGAGCCUCUGCACCCUCCUCUAUAGGACGGAAAGACAGUUGUGAAGCUACUUCCUUAGAUGACAUGGGAAAACGUGAUGAGGACAAAGGUGAAUAUCGUUAAGAUGGGUCAAAAAAAGAAAUCUCAGUUUACAAACAGAAAAGUUUCAUCAUGAGGUUUCUUAAAUAGACCAUAUAGUACUUUUCAAACAUCUUUCAUACUUUGAUAGACAUUCCACAAUUUCUGUUCACAGAGGUACAGGCCUGAGUGUGUUCCCUACGUCCGUACGACGCGGCCACAGCAGGCCCCGGCAGAAAUGCCACGGGCUGCCACGAUGGCCAGACAGCUUGAGGGUGGGGUGCUCCAUCCAGAUGAGUUCAAUAAAAUGAGAAACUUACUGACAA